rnacentral:lncRNA from 1 species
GCUGUCGUUGACACUCCUAAAUUAACCUCACUUUCACUCCACAAUUUACAAUAAUUAGCACAGUAGCAAGUAAGGAUCGAUCCCACAGAGAGUAAAGUUGUUUUAGAAUUAUUCUACUAUUUUAACAGAAAAUAAAGAUGGGGGUUUUGAAAAUUAUUUUUUAAACUAAGAGAACAAGAAUUAACGAUAAAAUUAACCAAAUAUGUAAAACUUCAGUUCUGCAGUUCAGUUUCACCAAGU